AAUCAUUGCUGGGGGAGCUUUGUGCUGAGAGAGUUAUUACUCGACCCUUGGAACUUGAUGCGGUUAAUACCGACGUAGGGAAGCAAAUUUUUAUUUUA
rnacentral:ncRNA from 2 species